rfam:Dipodomys ordii contig_61513, whole genome shotgun sequence.
CCAAAGGCUCUUUUCAGAGCCAUCCACAUUAACUAAAAAGAGCUGU